CCUACGGGAGGCAGCAGUAGGGAAUCUUCCGCAAUGGACGAAAGUCUGACGGAGCAACGCCGCGUGAACGAUGAAGGCCUUCGGGUCGUAAAGUUCUGUUGUUAGGGAAGAACAAGUGCUAGUUGAAUAAGCUGGCACCUUGACGGUACCUAACCAGAAAGCCACGGCUAACUACGUGCCAGCAGCCGCGGUAAUACGUAGGUGGCAAGCGUUGUCCGGAAUUAUUGGGCGUAAAGCGCGCGCAGGCGGUUUCUUAAGUCUGAUAUGAAAGCCCCCGGCUCAACCGGGGAGGGUCAUUGGAAACUGGGAAACUUGAGUGCAGAAGAGGAAAGUGGAAUUCCAAGUGUAGCGGUGAAAUGCGUAGAGAUUUGGAGGAACACCAGUGGCGAAGGCGACUUUCUGGUCUGUAACUGACGCUGAGGCGCGAAAGCGUGGGGAGCAAACAGGAUUAGAUACCCUGGUAGUCCACGCUGUAAACGAUGAGUGCUAAGUGUUAGAGGGUUUCCGCCUUUAGUGCUGAAGUUAACGCAUUAAGCACUCCGCCUGGGGAGUACGGUCGCAAGACUGAAACUCAAAUGAAUUGACGG
rnacentral:rRNA from 1 species